rnacentral:rRNA from 1 species
GGAUCAGGACACCCAAAUGGUGCAGCCGCUAUUAAAGGUUCGUUUGUUCAACGAUUAAUAGUCCUACGUGAUCUGAGUUCAGACCGGAGCAAUCCAGGUCGGUUUCUAUCUAUGUUGUAGCUUUCUUUAGUACGAAAGGACCAAGAAAGCAGGACCUCUGUCAACAACACGUCCUAAACCAUAAGGCUAAAUUCAACUAAAGCCUAAAACAAGACCCCCGUAAACCCAGAGACAAUGGGCUUA